GACGAACGCUGGCGGCGUGCCUAAUACAUGCAAGUCGAGCGCUGAAGGCUGGUACUUGUACCAACUGGAUGAGCAGCGAACGGGUGAGUAACGCGUGGGGAAUCUGCCUUUGAGCGGGGGACAACAUUGGGAAACGAAUGCUAAUACCGCAUAAAAACUUGAAACACAAGGUUUAAGGGUGAAAGACGCAAUUGCAUCACGCAAAGGCGAUCUCGCGUUGUAUUAGCUAGUUGGUGAGGUAAAGGCUCACCAAGGCGAUGAUACAUAGCCGACCUGAUAGGGUGAUCGGCCACAUUGGGACUGUGACACGGCCCAAACUCCUACGGGAGGCAGCAGUAGGGCAUCUUCGGCAAUGGGUGAAAGUCUGACCGAGCUACGCCGCGUGAGUGAAGAAGGUUUUCGGAUCGUAAAUCUCUGUUGGUAGAUAAGAACGUUGGUGAGAGUGGAAAGCUCAUCAAGUGACGGUAACUACUCAGAAAGGGACGGCUAACUACGUG
rnacentral:rRNA from 1 species